rnacentral:rRNA from 1 species
GACAAACGCUGGCGGCAUGCCUAACACAUGCAAGUCGAACGGACAGAACAGGGAAGCCUUUCGGAGUGGAACUGGAAAGUUAGUGGCGGAUGGGUGAGUAACGCGUGGACAACCUACCUUGUAAAGGGGAAUAACCUCGAGAAAUCGAAGCUAAUACCCCAUAAUAACCUUGCUUCGCAUGAAGUAAGGAGGAAAGGCGGCCUUAGCGCUGUCGAUACAAGAUGGGUCCGCGUCUGAUUAGCUAGUUGGUGAGGUAAAGGCUCACCAAGGCGACGAUCAGUAGCCGGCGUGAGAGGGUGAACGGCCACAUUGGGACUGAGACACGGCCCAAACUACUACGGGAGGCAGCAGUGGGGAAUCUUCCGCAAUGGGCGAAAGCCUGACGGAGCAAUGCCGCGUGAGUGAAGAAGGCCUUCGGGUUGUAAAACUCUGUCCUUAUCGAAGAGAGAGUGUUGUAGUAACUGACAAUACUAGGACGGUAGAUGAGGAGGAAGCCCCGGCUAACUAUGUG